UUAUCACGUGACAUGAUGCUGAUUAAUGUAUGACCACACGUGUGUGACCGCCUUUUUCAAACGCGGAAAUUGUAUAAUUUUCCUGGACAAUAUUUAGGACCAUUUUCAGCAAAGAAGAAUUCAUAGAAAUGUAUUAGAGACAGAACAGUAACGUAAGAAAGGGACAGAUCAGUAACUUAGGAAAGAAAGAUUUAAGGAUAAAAGUAAUAGCUGUCAAGGAAGAGUAAUGGAGGCCUACACAAAGAUAACAGAAGCUGAAUUAAAGAAGGAUUGUGCACCAGAAAUGGUUGGAUGAGUUUAGAGACUACAAUUCAUUUGCACGAAAAUAAUAAAAAUUGAUUAAGAGA